GCCAGCCUCCAGGGCGCCUACCGCAGUGCCUGACGGGCCGCGCCGCGGGCGUACUGCGCAUGCCCCUAGAGGUAACACACUCCCCGGCCCGUCUGGCGUAGAGCCAAUCGACCAGUAGUGACCGGCUUGGGUAUUUUGCACCUUCUAAAUACAGCGCUAGUUGGUGAGCGCAUGGUUACGUCAUCGCUCGGAAACCCUGGCAGCCCUUAAAUUUCAGGUAUCACCCCAUGGGUCCAUCACUCCAGAGUUAAGAAGGCCAACUCAGAGGAACCCUCAACCUGGUACAGUGAUCCAGAUCCAAUCAACCUGCUUAAACUGACCCUCAAAAAGACACUGUCCCCUGAGGUCUCCAGCCCUGCUCCAGCCACACCCCGGAAGCUGGCUGGCCUGCGCACGGCAGAAGCUUGAGGAAUCAACGUGUGGACCGAGCCUAGGGGUUUGGAUGCAACUCUCCCAGCCCUUACCCCUUACUGGAGUCAUAGCCCUGAUCUUGCUUCUUGCUGUUGGGCUAAUAGAGACUGCAUCAGCAAACUGGA